AGGGGAGAGUAACGGGUGGUUACUUACCCUCGAGACCGGAAUAGUGUCGGGAAACUGACAGUAAUGCCGGAUAAUAUCUUUGGAUCAAAGGUGUGAUUCCGCCUGGGGAUAGGACCGCUUUCUAUUAGCUUGUUGGCGGGGUAAUGGCCCACCAAGGCUGAGAUGGAUACCGGGUGUGAGAGCAUGGCCCGGCUCACUGGGACUGAGACACUGCCCAGACACCUACGGGUGGCUGCCGUCGAGAAUCUUCGGCAAUGGGCGAAAGCCUGACCGAGCGACGCCUCGUGCGGGAUGAAGGCCUUCGGGUUGUAAACCUCUGUCAGUUGGGAGGAAGGUGCUGUGAAGACCAGCAUUUGACCGAUCUUCAGAGGAAGGACGGGCUAAGUUCGUGCCAGCAGCCGCGGUAAGACGAACCGUCCGAACGUUAUUCGGUAUCACUGGGCUUAAAGAGUUCGUAGGCGGCCUAGUAGGUGAGGUGUGAAAUCCAACGGCUCAUCCGUUGAAUUGCUCUUCAACCCGCUAGGCUCGAGGAUGGCAGGGGUGUUGGGAACAGAUGGUGGAGCGGUAUAAUGCGUUGA
rnacentral:rRNA from 1 species